UACGUAGGGUGCGAGCGUUAAUCGGAAUUACUGGGCGUAAAGCGUGCGCAGGCGGUGAUGUAAGACAGAUGUGAAAUCCCCGGGCUUAACCUGGGAACUGCAUUUGUGACUGCAUCGCUGGAGUGCGGCAGAGGGGGAUGGAAUUCCGCGUGUAGCAGUGAAAUGCGUAGAUAUGCGGAGGAACACCGAUGGCGAAGGCAAUCCCCUGGGCCUGCACUGACGCUCAUGCACGAAAGCGUGGGGAGCGAACGGG
rnacentral:rRNA from 1 species